AUCAAAGCUCCUCACCUCUGCAAAAAGUACUCUCUUCAUUGUCUUCACCAAGAAAAUUCCCAUGCAUAAGCAGGCACAUGGCAUCAAAAUGUAGUAAGAGUAUCCAGAUAAGAUCUUUCCAAGGACAGCAAAACACAUGCCUGUGAAGGUAUACCCAGCAUAUGCAACAAUGUCUAACAAGGGCGCCUCCCCGCUACCCAAUGAAAGGAGUAUCAUUUUGAGCAAUGCAACCUGCAUAAACCAGCCGAGCAAUCCCUUGACAAACAGCCAAUUGAGAGCUUCUGGGCUAAAUCUGGAAUCAAAUGGAAUUAAACUUCAGAGCUUAGAGCAUGAAAUUAAUUUCCAAAUUAAAGAUAAAGAAAGUUGAAGUUCAAUGAUGUGAUCCAAUUCCAGAUAUUUUUUGGCUGGUUUGGACAAAGCAUCCUGUCCAGACCAGCCACAGCCAAUUGAUAGCUUCUGGGCUAAACCUAGCAUCAAAUGGAAUUAACUUGAUCUCAGAUAAAUGAAGUUAAAGGCAAAAGAAAAUGAAAUAGAAGAUCUGGUGGAAUCAAAGAUGUAAUGCAACUAAUGGUUCAUCAGGCUGAGAAAUUACUUGCUUUAUUAAAGCUUACAGAUACAAGCACAGAUAUCCCUGGACACGCACAAAAAUUAUGGAAGAGGAAGAAAAAUAUGAAAGACAAAGAAGCUGGAGUGCAGGAUCAGGGGAUGAGAGUGAUAACAUUAAGCAACACUGUCACUCACAAUUGCCAACAUAUGAUUACUGCAACUAGGGUUAACAGAGGUGAUAUUCAUAGAUGCAUCCAACACAGAAAAGUGAUCAAGCUUGCUGGCAGCACAUGUAGUAGUUAUUAAGGUUAAGCUGGGUUGACUGGAGAAUAUAAUCUACUUACUUUCCAUUAAGUCCCAACGACAAGCCAGCAAGAACAACAUAGGUACCAAAUGCCAUGAAUGGAAUGUACAAGUCUGGUGCAUUUAUAUCAUAGAUUGGGGGUUUAUAGGAAAGCCUGCCCCCUACUGGCUCGGUUAUCCUCAUCCAAUGUCCCUGAGAAAAGCAUGGUAAGGACAAAAGUUCACGACAAUAUGAAAAAAAUGGUGUGGGCUAGAAAAAAGCAUUAGAUUAGAUAAGUUACCCUGUGCAGAAAUGGAAACAAAACAACCUUCAGUUUGUUCCUCACAUACUGGUCAUUCACUUGGAAAUAGUACUGUGGAUCAGAGAAGUAUCUACUUAUCUGUUUAUUUAAAAGAAAAUGUCAGUUAAAAUCACAUAGUUAUCAAACUAAAGUACAACAAUCUAAUCUUCCCAAGAAUGAAAUGUUGAAAUGGGAAUAGAAAAUUUUAUCUUUCUUUUCAUUGAAAAAAUUUCUAAAAUGAACCCAUAACAUUUAUGUAAAAGAGGAAUGAAUUGGUGCAAAUGCCAGCGGUUUAAAGACAUUGGCAUGAGGUUUCGAGGUGUCCAACAUAAAUCACAUCUGAACUGCAUGCUUAACCAGAACGGAAGCAUUUGGCUAACAGCAAGCUUAAACCACAAUGAUUUGACAUAAAAGCCUCAGAAUGCUACUUACAUUGCUUUGUACAUACUCAGAACUUGAGCCCAAAAUUUUCUCUCCAUAUGCACCCAGCCCACCUUUCAUAAGUCCUGAACCAGCUCCGUAGAAGGAAUUCCCAAAUGGAUUGGGCUGGGGGUUGGUUGGAGGUCUUGGCACCCCAGGCUGAGGUCCCACAUUGUUAUACAUUUCUGCACUUAGGAGCGAAAAAAAUCAGAACAAAUUUGUUUCCAUAAGAACUGCUCAUUAGCACUGAAUGUCUCUUAGCUGAGUCAAUCAAGCACUGAUUACUAAUGGAUGCUUAAAUUCUAAUUUUUUUCAGAAACCAAUUAAAUCCAUAAGGUCAUUCAAAUAAAAUAGAAGAAAAGUUUCAAGCUCAACAGGGAACAACUGAUCUCACUUAAUAUUAUUAAGAAAGAGGAUGACUUAUGCAUCCUUAAAAUGAAACUGUUAACUUGAGGCUUAUGAAGUUUCAUAUAAUACUAAAAUCAAAAUACAUUCUCCUCCAUCUACUGCAUAUUCUCAUGGUUUAAUUGGCAUAUGGACCAUCUUCCAAAUAUCUCCCCCACCCCCCGCCCCCCCCCCCCCCCCUCAAAUCACCAGAAUAUACAGGCCUGGAAAAGAUAUAACUUACAAUCUGACCACGUCCUAAGCAACCGACACGGACUCAGGAUCUCAUGUGGAGCUCAUGAAACAAAAGGCAAAAGGGAGGUUCCCAGUACAUCCAUUGUUUGUAAAAACACAGCCCCACCUCCAUCCACAGUCAAAAUCCUCACGCAUCCUAUAUUCCUAAACAUAUUCCUCUUUCUUUCUAAACAAUUAAACACCGUCACUAAACCUCCCAAAACUCUCCUGCCAAUCCAAAACACAUCAAGCACCUAGCAGCACCUUUCCUUCAACUUCCAACAAUUGACAUCAUACACCACAACUCCAAAAAAAUUAACCUACCCAAAACUGCAUGCCUACAAGACCCAUUUACCGAUCCUCUUCAGAAACCAAACUAAACUCCCUCAAUGACACAAAAUCUUAACAACCCAUUUUAAUAAAUCCCAAAAAAUUCUUAAACCCCGAAUCCCAUCAAAUUCACAGCAUAAGCACGUACCAUUCAAUCAAUCUACCUAAUCUAUUUGCAUUAAAACAUACACACAAACGCAUACAGAAAAAUACAGUUAAACAUGGAUCUAAGAAUAUGACCUGGAGCCGGAGAUUUAGGUGGUGUUUUCUGGCGAUCGUAUCUUGGGUUUACCGGUGAUGGGAUUUUAUUCUAAAAAGGAACCGAGGAAAAGAAAACUAUGUAUGCAAGUAACGGUUUGUGGAUUCUUGAGAAGGAAUGGGAAUUAUGUAAGGGUGGUGGCACGUGCUGUGCACGUGCAAAGGAGCGUUGGUUCUUUUUCUUUAUAGAUUUGACUAAUUUUCUUUGCAUCAUUGGGCCAAUUAGGGAUUGACAAGUAAAGGGUCGGAGCUCCAAAUUUAAAGGUGAGAGUUUUUUACAAUCUACUAGCUUGCCGACUGCCCUCCGCCGUAGUUGGAAAUUGGAAUCAUAUUAUUUUUUAAAAACAUAACCAAAAAAAAUAUUUAAGAAAUAUUUUAUAUUAUUAUUAAAUUUAAUUUGAUGUGUCAUUCUUAAAUCUUUUUAUUAGAAAUUUAAAAUUAAAUUAUAUAAAAAAUAUUUUAAUGUGAUUCAAAUAAUUUGGCUAGAUCAUAAAUAACUUGAAUAUCUGAUAAAAAAAGUUUAACAAUGAAAUUAAAAAAAAUUAAAUUAAAAAAAUCCCUCGACCAAACUUUUCAGUAUAGAAGUUAUUAUGACGUGACUCGAUCAACUUAGUUAUUGUUUAGUUAUUAUCUAGAAAAAAACGGAGAUAAUAAGAAUAUGUGUUUCUAUAUCUUUUGUUUUAAAAUAUAAAAAUUUAUUUAAAAACUGUUAUAGAGAAUAAUUUAUUUUAAGUUUUUAUAUCUUUAAUCAAAUAUAUUUUUGUCUUUUUUAUAUAAGUUUUUUUUUUUACCAAAAUUAUAAAACCUAAUCUGAGAGUUAAUUUAAAGCAAGGUUUAGAUCAUAAAUCGGGAGGGUAAAUUCAAGUUGAUCCGGGUUAAUCUUCUAAAUUGUUUUUAAUAAAAAAAUCUAAAAUUAUAUUGUUUUGUAAAAAAUUAAAAAAAAAUUCAAUACGUUGAUUAACUAGGUGAAUGCAAGUCAUAUACAAGUCACCUUUUUUUAUAUAUAGAUAAAUUUAUUUUUCAAAUUUAAAUUUGAAAGAGAACUAGAAAAAAAGGAGAAGAUAAAAAAAAAAAAAAGUAAAGCUAUUUUCUCCUAUGCAUAGUCUUCUCACCCGACGAAAAACACAAAGAGAACACGUGAGUCAAAACUCUCAACCUUUUCCCUCACAUUCGAUUUGUUUUCCCAUGCUCUUCUUUAUUUAAGUCAAUGACAAAGCAUACUUAGAGCUAACGGUCAGUUUCAUAAUUCAAUUCUGAUUUUUUCUAAAAUUAUUUUUUUUUAAAUAAAAAACAAUAAAAAAAUGAAAAAGAGCAACUUGGUAAGAGUUGGCUGAAAAAAAAAAUAUAAAGGAAUCAAACUAGAGUUUUGGACAAAAUUAGAAGCCCAGUUGUAUCUUAUUAUAUCUAAAACUGAAGAACAAUGCAGAUUCAAAGUCAAACAAAAUAAUUAUUAAAUGAAUCUUCAUAAAAAUUAAGUUUGAGGACUUAAUUAGACUUUUAAUAGGGCAAUUUGAUUUAAUUAUAGACCCAAUAAAGAAUUAAUUAAGUUUAAGAAUUAAUUUGGGUCAAAUUAAACAAAAUAAUUAAGUAUAAGAACUUAAUUAGACUUUUAAUGAGUCAAAUUAAUUUUAUUAAGGACUUAAUCAGUGAAACAUUAAGUUUGAAAGUCUAACUUGAGUUUAAUUGAUAAAAUUAAAAUUUUAAAAGACAGAGUUUAAUUUAUACAAGUUCGAUUGAGUGAAAAGAUGAACAAAAUUACAAGGAAAUCAAAGUUUGAAGGUUAAUUAGACGUUAAAUUGAAAAAUUUUGAAACCAAGGAUCAUUUUGUAAAAUAACAUAAAAAUUUAAGGGUCCAGUCAAAGAAAGCCAAGGGUGAAACUGCAAGGGAUUCAAAAAAUUAGUGCUGGUUGGGGGUUUCAUUACAAAAUUCUAAAAGUUUAGAAAUCAAAUUAAACAAUACCAUAAUUUCACUAUUCAUCAUCUUCUUCUCAUUUAAACAAGAGAAAAGAUGUUCAAGUGCUCUUCUUCCAGCCCUAAUUUCUUCCUCGUCUCUUCACCAAUCCACACAAAUCUUAUAAAAACUUAUGCUAAGGUAUUUGUACUUCACUCUAAACUAAAAUUCCAGCUCUUAUUACAUUAAAAAGACCAGCAAAUUCUCUCCCAAAAAAUUACCCAGCAUACUCUACCUGCAAAAAUAAUCUUGUAUUUUCCGUUGUCAAUUUCUCAACAUAAGGAUCGAUAUUCCAUUAACUCAUGAAUGACACCAACACCAGCACACCUGUGACUUCAUCUUCUCCAUUCAUUGCAGCUACAACGACAAGUCAUAGCAAUACUAGUUCAGCCGAGAGCCACGUCAACAACAGCAAAGUCUUCAAACCGUGAGCAGCCUUUGAUUCAAACUGUGUAAUGGCAGUUCAACCUUCACCUCCUCUACACUGUGAGCAACAGUACUAGAGGGUCUUUUUCAUCAGCAGUCAACUGGUCACGAUACAGAAGCUUCCUUCAAGUAGCAGUAGCAGAGUAACAACUGGUCUUUUCCUCUCCAUCAUAGCAACAACAGAGGUUUACAGUUCGGUAACUUCUCUAAGCCCUGCACAGCAAUGGAAGCAAACACAUCCUCUGUGCAGUCGUGAGCCUCCAGGUAUAACCCUUCCUUUUCUUGUUACGAUACUGCAUGUUUAGAUGGACUGUGUUCUCUUUAGUUAACAUCCUAGUUUGAAACUGGCAAAAACAUGAAUAGGAGUACCAUUUCCAUUUGGCUGGCAAAAACAUGAAUAGGAGUACCAUUUCCAUUUGGCUGGAAAAUGCAUGUUUCUGGGUAAAUAUGAAUGCUGGGGAUCAUUAUUAAUUUAUUAUAGUUUAUGUCUUCUUGUUUGAUGGGCUGGGCUUCAAUUUGAAAUAUUUGAAUUUGAUGGGCUGGGCUUCAAUUUGAAAUAUUUGAAUAAAUUUUAUGGGUGUUUUAAAUUUUAGGUUGGAUAAACUAUUGAGGUUUUUGGUCAAGGCCCGGCCUCGUGGCUAGGUUGAGCCCUUAAAUGCUGUUGUUCUGAAAUUUUAUAAUGAAAAAAUAUAUUUUUGUUUCUUAGAAUGUGUUUGAUAAACACGUCCUAACAAAUUUUUUAUAGUUAUUUUUGCUGAUUUAUUUGUGUUUUUAUCAAAUAAACCUUAAAUAAUUUCAAGACAAUUCUAAAAAAAAAUGAAAAAUCAUUUUAUAAUUUUUUAUGGUCCCUCACGUGUUUUCCAAUCUUUUUAUUUAAUAUUUGGGUUGUAAACUUACACUGUAAGAUACUGACCCGAUAUUAAAUAUACAAGUUUUUUUUCAAAAUUUUAGGGAAAAAAAAUAAAAAAGGUUCCUUAUUUUAAAAAAAUAAAAAUAUAUGUUUUUAUUUGUAUGCAUAUAGCCAAGUUUCUAAAAACAAAAUACUUGCAUAAUUUAGCAUACUAAAAAAAUCACAAAAAUAAUCUUUUUAUUUUGCAUGCAUAUUAGAUUUAAUAGCUAGUUUAUUAAAGCCAUGAGAACUUGUUCUACAUUUCAAAAAAUAUCAAAAAUCUAUUUUGUUUCUUUUAAUAUACGAGAUUAUAAACUUAUACAUAAGACGUAUUACUGAUAUUAAAUAAAAAGAUAUUUUUUUUAUUUUUACAUUUUGACUUUAGAACGAUUAAGUUUCAACCUAAUAAGAUAAGGAUCUCCUUAUUAAGAAGAACUUUUUUAAAACCUUUAGCAGAAAAAUAGUUAGAAAACACAACAAUACCUUAAUUUAUGCCAGACAAAUAAACAAUGCAACUUCCCUAAGAUAAGAUGUAUUUGUGGCGAUAUAUCUUUCUUAUACACAAUUAGUCUCUAUAUACAGACUCUAAAACCAAUUGGGGUUUCUAAUGACCAAAAUAUUAGGUGAUGGCUCCAUUUUUUUUUUACUGAUAAGAAACAAGAAUUUCUUGUUUUUUUCACCCAUCACCAUAAAGAUCCCGACUUGGGAGGACAAUCGACACGAUGCCACACACAUGCGAUAGUCAGGACAAAAGGGUAAAAUUGUAUUUGGAAGGCGAUUUGAUCAUUUCAAGGUAAAAGUGAAUAAUGAACACUUCUAGCAACAAGACAAAGGAGUAAUGAAUGAUUCACUCAAAUUGAUCAGCGAGAAAAAGAAUUUUCAGCAAGUAAAUAGAUCACGAUAGGCACUAUAAAGACUGACAUGUGUAAAAUUAAAAAUACUAUGGAAAAGACUUAUAUAGACCAGCUCGAGUGAGAUAGAAGUUAAGUGAUUAUGAGAAUUCGGAUCAGAAAUAUUAGACCUCACCAAUUAAGCAAGAAAGAGAUUGAGAAGAAAUGGGGAGCUUAUAUUUCAAACCAGAUAAAGAUGUAUAUCGUCUAAUUCCAAAGCAUUGAACAAUGUUUUUUGCAGAGAAUUUACAAGAAAAAUCCUACGGGAACUAUCGAAAGACUGGCCACUUUAAAAUAACCAAAUUUGAAAAUACUUCUGAAAAGUUUUUACUUUUGAAAAAUCUUUGUAUGUUUUUCACUUUGACAUGUCACUCAUUAGAAUGAAACUAACUGAAAAUCUUUGUAUUUCUCACUUGGGCAGGUCACCCGGAAGAAUUAGAGCACUUAAAAAUUCUGUGUUUUUUCCAGCUAGAAAGGUUGCCCAUGAAAAUUAGACAAAUCUUUGUAUUUUUCACAGUUAGAUUGGUCACUCAUUACAAUGAGAACAAUGUUGAAAAACUUUCAUUUUCUUCAUGAACAGGUAGGUCACCUAGAAAAAUGAGACCAAUUCUGAAAAAUCUUUGUAUUUUUACUAGUGGACAGGUCACCCAUGAAAAUUAGACCAAUGUUAAAAUCAUUUCAUGUAUUUCACAACGAGUAGGUCAACUAGAAAAUAAAACCAAUAUUGAAAUCACUUUCAUGUAUUUCACAAAUGGAUAAAUCACCUAAAAAAUAAGACCAAUGUUGAAAUCAUUUUAAUGUAUUUCAUUAACAAGUAGGUCACCUAAAAAUAAGACCCUUUUUUAAAUCACUUUCAUAUAUUUUAUAAACUGAUAGGUCACCUGAGAAAUAAAAUCAAUGUUGAAAUCACUUUCAUGUAUUUCACAAACAGGUAGGUCGCCUGGAAUAAUUAAACCAUUUUAAAAAAAUCUUUGAAUUUUUUCACACAACGAGCAAGUCAUCUGGAUCAAUUAGACCAUUUUAAAAAAAAAUUGUAUUUUUUUACCAACGAGCAAGUCGUUUGGAACAAUUAGAUCACUUUCAAAAACAUUUCAAAAAAAUUAACAACAACGGGUAGGUCACCUCUAAUAAUUAGACCAUUUCUGAAAAUAUUUGAGUUUUUCGUUGACAAGGUAGAUCGCUUAUCGCUUCUCAAAUGACCGCUUUCAAAGUUUUUCAAGAUUUGAAAAACAGGAGGGGCUUUCAUGUUUUUUUAUCUUUACAAACUUACUACACAAAGCCAAAAAAAAUAAAUUUUUGAAUGCCUUUGUAUUGUAAGUAUUGUAAAGAUGAAGCAAUUGUACCUAAACUUGACUCUAUUUGCUUUAAUUUUUUUUUAAAAGGAGGUUAAAAUUUAGAAAUUAAAAGAUUUGGUACCAACAUUUAUUUAGGGGUGUGAUUUGUCAACUUGUGAGAAAAUUAAGGGCUAUAUUGUGUUUUGUUUAAACAAACUAUAGAUAAAUCUAUUUUUCAAAUUUAAUUUUUAAAUCUAAAUCAAAUUUAAAUUUAAAAAAGCAUGAGCUUAUAUUUGUUUGGGAAUUUGAGUCUCUUUAUACUUUAUACAUCAACUUUUCGAUGUGUGAAUCCACAAUGAAAGGGUAAUUUUUCCCUUGGUGGGAUAGCAUGGGUUUAGGGGUUAGAAGGUAAUUUCGCAUUUUUAGCUACAAUAUAAUUACUAAACAGCCCAUGGAGAAAAAAAAAUCCUUUAGGUUUAAGGGCUUUUCAGGUUUUAUGUAUUUUUUUGUACUGGUUAAUUACUUAAAUGCCUCUCAAAGAUAAUCUCUAUUAAUAAUAGAGGCAGUGGCACUUUUGGUUUUUCCUUAAGGUUUUUUUUUUUUUUUUUGUAAUUCUCAUUUUGGGUCUAGGGUGAUUGAGUAAUUUCAUAAAUGUAAAUUAAUAUUUAUUCAGGAGGUGGCUGGCCCGCGCCCUUCGGGUGGCAUGUGCAGCGCACUGACACCUAAUGCAGGACGACAUUAGAUGCGCCGCGCCACCCCCAUCACGUUGGUUCGAUGUGUGUACGGCGAGGAGGCGUGGUGGAGGUGGAGCUCCGGCAAUGAGUUUUUUCCUCGCCCCCAUCUUUCCUCCUAGAAAACCGUGCAAGUCAUUGCAAAAAUACAAGAAAGUAUGUCUAUUUGUUUGUUAAGUUAAAUUAGAUCCUCAUUCUUUUGAUUGCAAUGUAUUUGGUCUUGAAUCAUUUAUUGAGUUGAUUUGUUUUUUCAAUUUCAUUUCUUGAUACUUGAUUUUUAUAUUAAAUUUGAUCAUUAUUCUUUGAAUUACAAAGUGUUUGGUCUUGAAUCAUUUAUUAGGUUAAUUUAUUUUUCAAAUUCAUCCAUUCACAAUUGAUUUUAUAUUGGAUUUUUAUAAAUUAUUUAGGCAUUAGUUUAGAAAAAAACAGAGAGAGCGCAGGGGACAAGGUUUUUAACAAAUGUCUUCCUUGAAAGAACAAUUCUCAUGCUGUUUUUUAAGAUCAAAAUUGAGGAUCACAAUCUUGUUUUUCUAAAGAAGGGUAGUUGAAAUGGUUUCAAGUGGAAUGACCGCCAUGAAAUCAUUCUUUAAAGGUUUCUAAAUCACUUUCUUGCAAUGAAAUAGUCAUGAAUCAUCCGUGUAUAAGUGUGCGAAGUCUGUGAUAGCCAAGCAAACCAUCGAAAGUUUAGAUCGCCUGCCUUCCCUUGAACCAAUGGCCAAACAAAUGCGCUCCCUCCUUUCUUCUUGCUUGCUUUCUGUCACUGUAUCCAUAGUUCUACUCCAUAUACCAUCUCGAGUUCAUUCAGUAACAUUGAAAUCAGAUGUUGAAGCCCUUCAGGCACUGAUGCAGGCCGUCGAUCCCGUCUCGAUUGUGAGGUAUUCCUACCUCCAUAGCUGGGAUUUCGCAUUCGAUCCAUGUGAGGCUGCAGGGUUAUUUCAAGGGAUCGUGUGCACAUUCCCUACGGACAAUUCGGCCAACCGUAUAAUGGCAAUUGAUCUUGAUCCUGCUGGGUAUGAUGGCUUUCUAACAGCAUCGAUCGGGAAUCUGACAGAGCUUACCUCCCUUAGGAUAAGCAAAAACAACUUUCGAGGGCCAAUACCAGAAACCAUAGCCAACCUUCAAAAGCUCACCAGACUAUCAUUGACUCAAAAUCUCUUCACUGGGAGAAUACCUCAAGGAAUCAUUAAUCUCAAGCAUCUUCAAAUCUUAGACCUGUCACAAAACCACCUCUCUAGCAAAAUUCCUGCCGAUAUUACAACUUUGAGAAGCUUGGUGCAGUUAAGCUUGUCAAACAAUGCAUUGUCUGGCAGAAUUCCAGACCUCUCCGCAUUGUGGCAGCUGAGCACAUUGGAUCUUAGUAGCAACAAUCUAGAUGGAAUUGUGCCCAAUCUUCCAAUGAACUUGAGAAAAUUGUCGCUGAGCCAUAAUGUACUAUCAGGACACGUUUCACCUGUGAGCGUCCUCCAACACCUCACAGUACUAGAUUUGAGUGAUAACAGGUUUUCAGGUCUCAUUCGUCAGGAAAUUCUCACUUUGCCUCUGGUGGAACGCCUUAACAUCUCAAAUAAUCAAUUCACGGAAAUGGAGCCAUUGCCAUACCCUAGGGAAGGUUUACAGCUUCGUGUGCUGGACGCACACGCUAACAGGCUGCAUGGUCAUCUGCCCAUCAGCUUGGUUAAUAUAGCGAAUUUAUCAUCAAUUGAUCUAUCCCAUAAUCAUUUCUCUGGACGAAUCCCACUAGAAUAUGGAGCCAAACUGGGGAGUUCAUGGAAAAGCUUGCUCUUAGAAGACAAUUUUCUGAUAGGAAAUCUUCCACCGCAGUUUAUUAACGGGACAGUGGCAGUUAGAGCCAACCUUGCACACAAUUGCUUAAGGUGUCCACCAAACAUUCGGUUUUGCAGAGGAGGGCAAAGGGCAAACUCAGAGUGUGACGGGCAGCAAGAUCACAGCACUUGAGAAGUUACUGUGAAUUCACAACGGAUCAUCAAACAAAUUCCAUGUACUCAAGCUUAUAAUAAAGUCCAGUGAGGCAAGCUUCCACUUCCUAAUCAAGGGUGGGAUGCGAGUUUAAUUUUCAUCCAAAGUAUAGUUCAGUGGUUCCAGCGAAGGAGAAGGUGUCAUAAUCUGUAAUCUUCAUUAAUGCAUUUCCAGUGUUGAACAAAUUUCCAUUUAUCCAUAGGAUAAAUUAAUUAUCUGUAAUGUUGCAACUUACAUUUUAUCAACACAUCAAACAACACAGACUUUCCCAGAUUUCAAUGUGGAUGAAAAGAGCAGUGGAUUCACAUGCUUAUCAGCAAAAACAAUCACCUCGAAAUCAGCUUAUAUACCAAAAAUUUCUGAUAUUUCAUAACUCUACAAAUUCAUGUUUCUACAACAUAACAGAGCAGUUUAGAGAAACCAAUUAACACCAACAUUGCCAAGCCAUGCGAAAAAUGGGAACUGGACUAAAGCGAUGAGGAGCAAGAGAGAAUGGUGUCUGCUAGAAUCAAAGCUCCUCACCUCUGCAAAAAGUACUCUAUUCAUUGUCUUCACCAAGAAAAUUCCCACGCAUAAGCAGGCACAUGGCAUCAAAAUGUAGUAAGAGUAUCCAGAUAAGAUCUUUCCAAGGACAGCAAAACACAUGCCUGUGAAGGUAUACCCAGCAUAUGCAACAAUGUCUAACAAGGGCGCCUCCCCGCUACCCAAUGAAAGGAAUAUCAUUU
rnacentral:lncRNA from 1 species